rnacentral:rRNA from 1 species
UACGGAGGGUGCGAGCGUUGUCCGGAAUCAUUGGGCGUAAAGGGCGCGUAGGCGGCUUCUCAAGCGUGCGGUGAAAGUCGGGGGCUCAACCCCUGAUCGGCCGUGCGAACUGGGGGGCUCGAGCACUGUAGAGGCAGGCGGAAUUCCGGGUGUAGCGGUGGAAUGCGUAGAGAUCCGGAAGAGCACCGGUGGCGAAGGCGGCCUGCUGGGCAGUUAGCUGACGCUGAGGCGCGACAGCGUGGGGAGCAAACAGG